CCUUACCUGGACUAGAAUGUGAGGGAAGAGAGGGUAAUUCCGAUCGUCUGGGAAACCAGACCCAAAACAAGGUGCUGCAUGGCUGUCGUCAGCUCGUGUCGUGAGAUGUUGGGUUAAGUCCCGCAACGAGCGCAACCCUUAUCAACAGUUGCCAUCAUUAAGUUGGGAACUCUGUUGAGACUGCCGUUGAUAAAACGGAGGAAGGUGGGGAUGAUGUCAAGUCAUCAUGGCCUUUAUGUUCAGGGCUACACACGUGCUACAAUGGAUGGUACAAAACGUCGCAAUCUCGCAAGAGGGAGCUAAUCGCAAAAACCAUUCUCAGUUCGGAUUGGAGUCUGCAACUCGACUCCAUGAAGUUGGAAUCGCUAGUAAUCGCAAAUCAGCAUGUUGCGGUGAAUACGUUCCCGGGUCUUGUACACACCG
rnacentral:rRNA from 1 species